GCUUACACAUGCAAGUCGAACGAUGAACUCGCAAGCUUGCUCCAGGGAUUAGUGGCGAACGGGUGAGUAACACGUGAGUAACCUGCCCUUGACUCUGGGAUAAGCGCUAGAAAUGGCGUCUAAUACCGGAUACGAGCUUCAGCCGCAUGGCUAGGAGUUGGAAAGAAUUUUGGUCAAGGAUGGACUCGCGGCCUAUCAGCUAGUUGGUGAGGUAAUGGCUCACCAAGGCGACGACGGGUAGCCGGCCUGAGAGGGUGACCGGCCACACUGGGACUGAGACACGGCCCAGACUCCUACGGGAGGCAGCAGUGGGGAAUAUUGCACAAUGGGCGAAAGCCUGAUGCAGCAACGCCGCGUGAGGGAUGACGGCCUUCGGGUUGUAAACCUCUUUUAGUAGGGAAGAAGCGAAAGUGACGGUACCUGCAGAAAAAGCACCGGCUAACUACGUGCCAGCAGCCGCGGUAAUACGUAGGGUGCAAGCGUUGUCCGGAAUUAUUGGGCGUAAAGAGCUCGUAGGCGGUUUGUCGCGUCUGCUGUGAAAUCUGGGGGCUCAACCCCCAGCCUGCAGUGGGUACGGGCAGACUAGAGUGCGGUAGGGGAGAUUGGAAUUCCUGGUGUAGCGGUGGAAUGCGCAGAUAUCAGGAGGAACACCGAUGGCGAAGGCAGAUCUCUGGGCCGUAACUGACGCUGAGGAGCGAAAGCAUGGGGAGCGAACAGGAUUAGAUACCCUGGUAGUCCAUGCCGUAAACGUUGGGAACUAGAUGUGGGGGCCAUUCCACGGUCUCCGUGUCGCAGCUAACGCAUUAAGUUCCCCGCCUGGGGAGUACGGCCGCAAGGCUAAAACUCAAAGGAAUUGACGGGGGCCCGCACAAGCGGCGGAGCAUGCGGAUUAAUUCGAUGCAACGCGAAGAACCUUACCAAGGCUUGACAUAUACCGGAAACGUCCAGAGAUGGUCGCCCCGCAAGGUCGGUAUACAGGUGGUGCAUGGGUUGUCGUCAGCUCGUGUCGUGAGAUGUUGGGUUAAGUCCCGCA
rnacentral:rRNA from 1 species